rnacentral:rRNA from 1 species
UACGUAGGGUGCAAGCGUUGUCCGGAAUUAUUGGGCGUAAAGAGCUCGUAGGCGGUUUGUUGCGUCGGCUGUGAAAUCCCGAGGCUCGAACCUCGGGUCUGCAGUCGAUACGGAGCAAACUAGAGUGUUGGCAGGGAGACUGGAAUUCCUGGUGAUAGCGGUGAAAUGACGCAGACUAUCAGGAAGAACACCGAUGGCGAAGCGGCAUCCUGGACCGAGAUCGACGCU